UCAAAUCGACUCCUCUCACCUUCUUCGUUCUUUAAUCGAUCCAGCUGCCCUUUCUCCAUCAAAGCCUCGGCCUCCUUCACGAAGGCGAUCAUCCCUCCGAAGGGGGGAGACAGAAUCUCUUCGAUGAACUCCUAGAGGGGGGAGGAGGAAAAAAACAUUAAAGAUUUCCCAUAACUCCUCUCUGUGAGGUUUACCUGAGUCCUGGCCAGAAGCAGCUGUUGGAAACCUUCCACCUCUUUACUGUCGUCUGCUGCCCUCUCCUGGCAAAACGAGAGGGAAACAAUCAUCACACAAGGACUUGAUAAAAAAGUAGAAUAUUGUCAUUUCCAGCAGGUGAGAAUGACAGAAAACACACGAGAACAGAUAACCAGAAAGUCAAUGACUCAGUUUGAUGAAAGAACAUGUGAAGAUGCAGCGUUGACGCUCACCAUGAGGACACUGAGCAUCAUGUCGUAGUUGUUGAUGAGGAAGAUCAGUUGGUCUCUUCUGGAGGGAAACUCUGCCGCCAUCUUUAGCACAAAGUUCUCCACCUCAACCUGGGAAACAAAUACUCGUUCGUUUUGUUUCUGGAAAAAUGUCAUUAAUAUCUAAUUCUGUUUGUGACAGAAAGUAAUAAAGAAAAUCUAUUCACAAAGA